rnacentral:rRNA from 1 species
UACGUAGGGGGCAAGCGUUGUUCGGAUUUACUGGGCGUAAAGGGUGUGUAGGCGGUUGUUUAAGUUUGGUGUGAAAUCUCCCGGCUCAACUGGGAGGGUGCGCCGAAUACUGAAUGACUUGGAGUGCGGGAGAGGAGAGUGGAAUUCCUGGUGUAGCGGUGAAAUGCGUAGAUAUCAGGAGGAACACCGGUGGUGUAGACGGCUCUCUGGACCGUAACUGACGCUGAGACACGAAAGCGUGGGUAGCAAACAGG